CCUCGCUUCAUUUCCGAAUGAUUCGAGGGGUGUUGCGUUUCAGAGGGUCCACUCAUCAUCCACCACUGCCUAAGUUUCCGCUUGAAAGUGUCUUUGACCAUGGAGGGUGACAGUCCCGUAUGGCAGCUGCCCGUGAGGGUAAGGUGGAAUGGUGUAACGUGGGCCAAUCUGUAGAGUCAGGUUGCCUAAUACUGCAACCUAAAGUAGGUGGUAAACUCCAUCUAAGGCUAAAUAUUCCCACGAGACCGAUAGCGAACAAGUACCGUGAGGGAAAGUUGAAAAGGACUUUGAAGAGAGAGUUCAAUAGUACGUGAAACCGUUAAGAGCCUAAACGGAUGGGACCAAUGCAGAUCGAACUGAGGGGAUUCAGCUCGCCGGCAUCAUCUCACUAUAAGGUUGAAAGCAGAAUUGUGAAGUGACCUGAGCCAUGGAUUGAGCAGCAGAAGUAAAUCUUGUUCUGUGUUGUAAUACAUCCUAUCGGGCACGCCUUAUAAUUGAUCGAUGGUGUUGGUUGGCGUAUUUCGCCUCUGAAGUAGAUCACUGCGACCUGUUGCGGGGAAGUCGAAGGCCCGGGUGGAUUGGUAGCCUUAUGCCAAUUACGGUAUUGUGAUCCUUGGCAACAAUCUGAACAAGUGAGCCUUGGUGAGCAGCUGUAUGUCGGUGUUUUGUGAAACCUCCGGUGACAUAUCCUAACUGCCCUGCGAUAGUCGUUAGUGGAGCCUUUCCCACGGGAUUGGCUCUCGCAGUGUGUGCAAAGAGGGCCAGGAACCAACCGACCCGUCUUGAAACACGGACCAAGGAGUCUAACAUGUAUGCAAGUCUAAGGGUGCUACUAAACCCAUGGGCGAAAUGAAGGUGAUUAAUGAGAAUUCACACCCGGUGGCACUGUAAUGAGGUGCCCCAAAGGACUGAUCCCGAGGGCUGGUACCUAAGUUCUACCGAUCAGGAAAUUUAGUAAGUAGGUGAGACCCUUUCCCUGUUGAACAUAUUUCCUGGUUGGGAUUGCUAUGGGUUAAGGUCUGAGAUGCUGUUAAGUCAGUGGAGGCGCAAGUCUGGGACGUGACCUAAGCUUAAAUGCAAAGACUGAUAGUUGUUUAGUGGCGUGCAUCAUAUGCCCCCCCGGCAAUGCGCUAUUUCCUUGCAGUUAUUAUAACCAUCAUUUGUCAAAAGCUUGUUGGUUAUUGGCUGUAGGGUGGUGUAAGUGCACGGGUCUUCAGUUGGGUAAUAUUUGGUGGCUAUGCAAAACUGAGAGACGUCGAGGACACGUACCUUGAGCAUCCAUGUUAGUACCCGAAAGAUGGUGAACUAUGCCUGGCCAGGAUGAAGCCAGAGGAAACUCUGGUGGAGGUCCGAAGCAAUUCUGACGUGCAAAUCGAUUGUCAGAGCUGGGUAUAGGGGCGAAAGACUAAUCGAACUAUCUAGUAGCUGGUUCCCUCCGAAGUUUCCCUCAGGAUAGCUGGUACUCAUUGAUGAAUUUCAUCUGGUAAAGAGAAUGAUUAGAGGUGAUGGGGACGAAAUGUCCUCAACCUAUUCUCAAACUUUAAAUGGGUGAGAAUGGCCAAGCUUUCUUGAAGCAUAAGAUUUUUUUCUUAAUGACUGCUAGCACGUUUGAGAGUUGAAAGCCUUAUGAAGAUGAAGCUUUGGCAUUGGAAUCAGAGUACCAAGUGGGCCACUUUU
rnacentral:rRNA from 1 species